UACGUAGGCAGCGAGCGUUGUUCGGAAUUACUGGGCGUAAAGAGUGUGUAGGCGGUGCUCUAAGUUCGGUGUGAAAUCUCCUGGCUCAACUGGGAGGGUGCGCCGGAAACUGGAGUGCUUGAGCGUGGGAGAGGAAAGCGGAAUUCCUGGUGUAGCGGUGAAAUGCGUAGAUAUCAGGAGGAACACCUGUGGUGUAGACGGCUUCUGGACCAUAGCUGACGCUGAGACACGAAAGCGUGGGUAGCAAACAGG
rnacentral:rRNA from 1 species